GCGUCCGCGCUCUCCCCUGACGUUUCUGAUGUGAAAAAGUAGGCAGUUAAAGCUGUGUUCCAUUCCAGUGUGGCCUUCCCUGGGUUAUGUCAUUUCUCUGUUUUCUAACUAGCUACCUCUAGAGUUACUGUACAGACUUUCCCCAUCCUUUCUCCCUAAUACAAGCUUGCUCAGCCACUCUACGGUGCCCGACCCUUCGCUUUUGUCACACAAAGCCCCCAACUUGCAGUUAGUUUGUCCUGAGACAGAUGAAGGAGCUGAGGGCCCCUUUAACUCAGAGCGCUCUACACAGAUCUUGGGGGCUGGGACAGGAAGUCCCGUUCCCACAAAACGAUCAAAGGAAGCGCACUUUGGCCCUGGGGUUUCUUGGACGGACGGACAGCGAGUUCCCAGAGCCAUCCUAUCCAUGACUGCUGCCUCUCCAGCUUCUCCACUAGAGGCUGUCUCUGUCCUCUCUGCUAACGCCCGGAACUGCUCUCCCGGUUCAAGGUCCCCGAGAUACUUUCUGUGGAGAUACCAAGCAAAAAGUGACCCCGACAAUGGCCAUCUGUUAAUAAAAGCCCUUUCUCAACGGGAGGCGCCACAGAGAGAAACCUUGCCACCUUUAUGCUUUCCUGAUUGGUUUCAACUGCACUCAGUCGAUGUCUAUACUUCUGCCAAAGAUGGCGAUUACUGUAACACACACUGUAAUCUGUAACAGUACUUUCCAGUGAUGGGAAGUAUGGAUGCUCGUUAUGGUCUCUCUUUAUAUUUUCUGUGUGUUUUAAAAAGUGUUUUAAAAAUCCAUA